UUGCGAUGAGUUUGUAUAUUGUUCUUAAUAGUGAUAUGGGUCAAUAAUUCGUGAUUAGCACUUGGUCUCCAGUUUUUGGUACUGAUAUAAUGCAGCUGGUGUUGAGGGCCUUCAAUAAUAUGCAGUUGACCAUGACCUCUUUUACUACUUCUAGCAUGUCCCCUUGAAUUUCCGGCCAACAAAGUUCGAAAAAAUCUGUUGGAAUUAAAUCUAGGACAGGGGCUUUUCCUGUCGAGAGGCCUUUAAUUGCAAUUGUUAGCUCCUAUGCCUUUAUUAGACUUUCUAGUUCUCGAUUUUGUCCAAGUGUGACCCUUCAAAAGACGCUUGCAAGGCAUUCCGCCUGGACGAUCAUGUUAUUUUUUACUAUAUUGCCUCAGCUGUAAAGAGCCUGAUAGCAGUGCUGAGCGUAUUCAGUUGUCCUGUGAGUCCAAUACGCUCAGCACAGCCAUAUCCGGUUGUCUUGUGAAAAUCUUCCCGUUGCUGAAUUCUCGAAUUUGGACUCGCUUGUGUUUUUUGGUGAAGUGAUUGAAAAAUUCAGCAUUGCACUGAUCCUCGACUCGGGUCUAUUUGGCUACGACAAAAUCAAAUUGUUUAGUUAAUUGGGCUUGAAAAAUUCCUUGCAGUUUUGUUUGUGCAAUGCUGAGGGCUUCACAUGCUGCCUGAUUGUUCUAGUUGUGUUGGAGGUGUAGUUCCGCAACCUAGAUUUCUGCAAUUUGCUGCUUGCACGUGGCUCUCCAUGCUUGACGUCUUUUGGUCAUUUCCUGAGUGUUGCAUUCAUGGACUGCCUUAAGCGCUGCUGUGAUUUUACUUGCCUAUGAGUCCUCUCGAUGUGGGUUUAUUACAUUAGUCCAUGUCCAGGUGAGUUGGAGUCUGUCGUCCUCGCUGUGUAAUUAUCGUCUGUCAAAACAAGGGAUUCAAGGGAGUAGCAGUCCUUUACUUUUGAAUUUUAGGAAGGAGAAGGAGUGGUCAUAGAUGGAAGUUUAGACUAGCCAUAUUCCAACCAUUCCUCCCCGUUCUCGUAGUUCUAGAGUGACAUAUAUGCAGUCAAUUCGGGUGGUUAUCAUAUAUAGGUGUGGAUGUUUAUUGGCUCAAAAGUAUUGUUUUGGGCUCAUACGUCUAAAUUCGCCCAUCUUGUAGGUGUCGUGAAGUCCUAGUUGGAUCAAAAGAGAAGUCCAUGCUUCAUUCUCUCAUGUUCAUUUGCCCCCCGUGGGAUAUUCUCCCAACUUAUCAAAAAGAUCUAUAAAAUUGAAGUCCCUAAGUAUGAUCCAUUUAGCCUCCAGGAGGGAAAAGUCUACAAUCUUUUGCCACAAACUUGCUAGAGGGCCAAUAUAGCUGUAGCCGUAGAUGUUCAGAAUUUUGAUCUUCUCAAAGGCCGAGUUGAAGUAUGUUAGGCUCCCAAUAACGACUCGAAGAGUGUUGUAGGGCCAAGGCUGGGUGGCUCCUUGGUUGGUACUACAGGUGGAGGUUGGAGUUGAUCGAGGAUACUCACUUUUGGUCCGGCUACUUUGUCCCAGUAAUUGAAGUCUGGUCUCCAUGGAGCAAGGAAGAUUUCCGAUUGGUGCAUCCGGUGUGUUCUGGCUAGGACGUUAUUUCUGCCCUCUUCUUCCUCAAAAAUUAUUUCGAAGAAGUCUCUGCCCAGCAUAGUGAGGGAAUGGAAGGAUUUGUGGAGAGCAUGAUGUGCCUAUUCUUGAAGCACUCUUGGUCGUGGGUUACGUCGAACAUGACCGAUUAUGGUGCAAGUUUGCAUCUUCGUGACUUCUUCCUAGAGGGCUUCUAAUGUGGAGUUCGAGAGCUUGAUUGUCUUUACACCUUGAGAAGCUGUUAGGGUGCCUCCUAGUGUAUUGGGGGUGAUUCCACAUGCCUCUAUUAGGGUUUUUGCAUUGGGUUUCAGCUUAUUGACUGUAGCUCUCAGUUCCUCAUCUACCGUAGCCUUGUGUGUUAAGUCCAAGUGCAGGUUUUGUUUAAUGUAGUCAUCGGUUUCUGUCAAGCGCUUUUGUAGUAGCUGUUUGAUGUUUUGUAGUAGUUGUGUUGUAAAUAGUUGUGCCGUCUUCUCUCGGUUGAGAUCAAGGUCUUCUAGGGCCUCAGUAAUAGGAGUGAGGGAUGGAUUGUGGUUUAGGGUUGGUGUGGUGAGACUCUGUUGUUCUCGGUCUUUCAUCUAUGAUUUCGUUCCCUCAGGCUAGUGGGUGGGAGACUAGAGCUGGUCCACUAUCAGAUUGUCGUCUAUGGUGUAUCGGGGACUGUCCUCUAGGUUCCUUGCUGUAUGUGUACUACCUUAAGCUGUAAUUUGCGCUGGUUGUGAAUUCCUCGCUCAAUGAUAUGUGGUCUUGUUAAAUCUUUAUGGAACAAUUUGAGUCGUUGUGUGACGGUAUCAUCAGAGUUCUUGGAGUCCGAGAAGUACAGCAUUUGUAGUUGAAAAUUGCCCAUUGAAACUUUGGCUGAUGUUUCCAGACUGCUGAAGCUCUCCUCGCUAUUGUUGCAUUCCACGAGGAGUUGAGGUGAACUUACCUAGCAGUUUGUAUCUUCAUGUUGUGUUUGGUCACCUCCAUUUCGCUUUAUGGUGUCCACCUCCCCUAGCACCUCUCUUGCUGUUGCUCGUGCUUAAUUGUUUUGCUCUUGAAUCUGCUCAUUGUCUAUUUUGUGGUUUACUGAUGUACUAGGUAGUGCCGUUCUAUGGUUUUGUGACUCUACUCUCUCACUAAUCCUGAUUGUGUUGAACCUUACUACGGUGGUCUCUGCUGAAAUUAAAGGCAAACAAUUGUUAGUCUCUAAAGACGCUCUAGUCUUGUCUGAUAUCCUCUGAGAUCUAGUUACAACCAUUCCAAAAAAUGAAAAAUUCAUUACACUCGCAAUUCAGAUCUAGAUGAUGCAUUCAGUUCCCCUCGGGAAUUUAAGAACUAAUCGGACUGCUACAAGGCUACACUAAUGCUCAAAUCGUAAGAGGAAUGAUGGUCCUGAAAAAGCGGAUUUGCGCCACUCUGCGGCUCCGGUUUUCACGGAGCCGCCACUCUGCUUCCUCUCUAAGGGCUCUCUAACCAUCUGCCUCUACCACUGAGCUAUAAAGGCGAGCCCGAUUUGCUGUACACAAUGGAAUGUACUGGCUUGUAUCAAUUUUGCAUCACAAUUUUGAAUCACAAUUUUGAAUCACAAUUUCGCCCACAGUCAACAUUUCUGUAGUAGAAAAAUAAAUUUUGUAAUACAAUGUUCCUGUUACUCUCAUUUGUAGCAUAUCCAGUUGUCCGUUGAGAAGUGUACAAGAAAUUUUACAAACCUCGAAAAGUGGAUCAUCUCAUUGAAAUUUAUGUGACAUAUGAAUCUAAUUUACUCAUGAUUUCUCUCAUGUUUCCAAUUCAAUUGACAGAUCAUCUCAAAAUCAAAAUUGAAGCGCGAGGGCUUCAAGCAAUACAAUCUUGUCACAACACCAAAUCAAAACAAAUCAAGUCGAUAGAAAAGACCACGUGUGGAGAUGCGGGGUGUCGAUCCCCGCACCUCCCGCUGCAAAUUUAGCGCUCUACCAUCCGAGCAGAAUUUUCCUCCGAGGUUGAAAUACUAAGGUUAAAAUAACGCACAAAGGCGCAGAUCAAACGGCUGGUGCCCUUUGUGUAGUCCGUUUUCCUUUCGAGGACCUGUGUCUACGAAGGAGAGUUUGGUUACUGCGCUGUUGUUAGCUUGCUUAAUAUGUAAUGUCUUCAUCGGAUUGUGGUCCGUUCUGGCGUGUAUCUGUGCUAUGGGUAUCUGGAAGUUCUAACCUCUUCUUCCAGCCUUGCCUAUUGCCAUAACCGCUAUCGAUUAAGCAAAACAGGUCUUCGUCCGUUAUGUCGGUGUACGCCAUGGUCGCGUAAAUGGAGAGUUGCAGAUCUGGUGCUGUCGCUGUUUGGUGAUGUCGAGCAUAGUAUAUGAGUUGCUGUCCUAGGGAGAGGGUGGCCUCAGGUGGAUGGGAGUGUGAGUUGAUCUGUUGACCGUUUUGAUUGCGCCCUUCCUGUUCAAUUUCUUCAAACAGCUGCUGGAUCUCGAGGUUUAGCUCCUCAUUGGUGGGCGUUGCUGUGUGGGUUGAAGUUCGUAGAAUUGCAGUUGUUUUGAAGGUAUUGUCAGAAGAAGAUGAGGAUUGAUGAUCUGGGGUGGUUGGAGUUGGCCGUCGAGUUAUUGAUACAUGAGGGUGUCUCACAAGAUCUUUAGGAAGCAGGGCUGGAGGUGGAACAAGGUGCCGGGUGAGGUCAUUGGUGGUCCUUGAUGAGAAUAUGUUGCUCACGAUCCAAAGUUGUGUAAAUAUUUUUAUCUUUAUUGUCUGGGUUUCGGGGGUGCAAUUGUGUCGGUGUAUAUUCCUCCAUGCUUUCAUUCCUAUAUGGAUUGUCAUCGUCCAAGCUUUACAUAAUACGAGCCCUAUGUGAUAGAGUGCGCGAUCUCUAUCAAACGCGCAUUUGCUGACCCAAAUGUACCACAAUAUUUAGAAUGUCAGUAUGAGCCAUGGAGUGUCUGAGGAGACCUUAACUGAGGUUGUGAGGCUCGUCAUUGGGUGAAGAGCAGGGUUGAAUGGGCCAUAGAGGACGUCGCUCCAACUUUUGAGUUACGAGAGAUGUGUGGUCUGUCGGAGCGCAUUGUAUCUUUGCCAUGCUGUGGUGAUGUGUGGACACUCCCAGAAGGUAUGGAGUAUUGUUUCUAUGGUGUCGUUGUUGCAAAGGGAGCAUUGGCCGUCCUUCUGCAUUACUUGUCUCCACGCUCCUACUGAAUACCUCUUGCAAGUACUAACCAUCUCAUAGCUGAUACUUUUUUGGGGAUCCAUGGAUGCCAGAGGGUGGCAUAAAACUAUGUUUUGGCUUGGGUUCCAAAGUUGUGUGCUUUGAAAAUAGCUUCGCCUUUUGGGGGAACGGCUUUGGAUUGACUUUGUUCUCUAUAACUCCGUUUCGUGGUAAAAUUGAGUAAGCUGGUCUGUGAUAACGCUCCCUGGCGUUUCCAUUGCCAAUCGGCUGGAUCAAGGGGAAGCUGUUGGAUUGGUGUGGUGCCAGCGAGCCAUAUUGUGGUGUCUCCGGUGGGACGGAUCAGAGGGUUGAAGGCGCCAAAUGUUCAUGUUGAGCCCCUUCAUGAUAUCACCCUAACUCGUUUGACCUCCCUGUCGCCUAAGUGAAUUGGUCCGGUAUCCACUAGUUGUAGUUCUUCGGAUUUUGUGACAAUAUACUUGUCUCCCUGCAAUACCCCAUUUGUUAUGUUAAGAUGUGGAAUAUUUCCAUAAUGGAUCCGUCGAUGUUAGGUGUCCACCAUUCGGUGGCUGUAUAGUUUUGUGCCUUGCCGGGGUGCCAAAGAAUGCUGGCUAGGAUUUGUGAGCAUUGGAUGUUCACUCGCCUUCUGCCUAUGAUAUGUGAGAGAGCUAUGGUGUUGAGUCAGUCUUGUUUGUUUGUGUUCCAAAGGUCGCCACAAGUGCGGAUUCCACGUCUGGCCCAAAGUAUGUAUUGGUCGGUCAUGUUAUGACCCCACAUUUUAUCAUUUGGUGCUUUGAUGAGGAGCUUGUUGAAUCAGGGUUGUCGCAAUAUUUCAUCUCUAUGACGUGGUGGGCAUUGUUCUAGGCUGGUUUGGAGUUCUUGCCAUGCGUGUCUCGCUGUGAUCCAGAGUGGAGAGCCUUGCUUCUGGAUCGGGAGUUUAGUCCCCACAAUCCAAUGAGGGCUGGUGUACUAGAGUCUUCCUCGGCGGUAUUGUAUUUCUGAGGCUCUGUGUCGCAGUAGCACCUUCCAAGGCUCUGCUCCUGGUGCUAUACCUCGUGCAAUUAGUUUACCUAGUAUCGCUCGUGCUUGGAGCUCGGGAUCAAAAACUUUGAGCCUCCUAUGUGUAAUGGGUUGAAUAGUGGUGUUCCACUGGACCUUGGCGCGCAUGGUGCCUACAAUUAUUCCUGGCCAAAGUGCUUUUGCUCCAUUCUCUGUUGGGGGUGUGCCGAAGCUGAUUGGGAAAUUGAGAUAACGGACCGAGGAGCCAGGUGUUACCCAGUUGAUUUUGUACUAGAGUCUCUAUUCAGUGUUGCGUGGUCUUGUGGAGGCCUAUAUUACUGAGGUUUUAUUCCAGUUGAUUUUUGCCCCUGAUGCCUUGCAGUUUAUAUCCAGUACCUUCAUUGUGUUGUUCAAGUUUUCACAGUCACCUUUUAGGAAUAGUGAGGUAUCGUCCGCAAACAUUGAGGUAGUAUGGCGUGAUGUGUCUGGUGAAAUAAGUCCUUCUACCUUGUGUUUGUAAUCGUCAAGCAUGUAGCCUAAAGCAUCAGCUGCGAAGAGGAAUAGGUAUGGUGCUAGGGGGCAACCUUGGCAUCCAGAUCUUUCUAACCUGAAUGGUGUGCCUUGUUCCCCAUUGAUAGUGAUUAGUGCUUCAGCUUCCGUGUGCAGUGCCAUGAUCCAUUUGAUCCAAUUAUCUGAGAAACCGACUUCUUUCAGUGCUGCUUGAAGGAAAGUCCAGCUAAUUCGAUCAUAGGCCUUCUCGAAGUCCAAUAAUAUUAACGCUAGAUCUUGGUUGCUAUCUUCUGCCCAGGUCAUUGCUUCAUUGGCAAGGAAGAAUUGUCAUAUAUGCCUCUGCCCUUUACAAACCCUGUUUGGGAGUUUUUGAAUCCAUCUAGUUUGGGCAUACUGGAGAGGCAUAGCAGCCUGGCGGCGGAGUUCAUUUCUAUCUCUCUAUCUCGGGUGAAAAGUUUUUGAUAGUACUCCUGAGCAUAUGAGGCCAUGUCUCGUUGCUUUGUAAGUAUUCUCCCGCCUGCAUUGAAUUCCCUGAUUCGGGUCUAUUUAUGUUUCGCGCCAUAAUGGUGGAAGAAAUCAGCAUUGCAUCGGUCACCUACUCGGGUCCACCUGGCGGAUACGGAGGUGAACUGUUUUUCAAGCCUCUUGUUUCUUAUCUGUUGAUCGUGAGUUUGGGCUGAAUUGAGUUUCUCCCGAGCGUUUGGAUCGUUCCAGUUCUUUUGUAGGAGUAUUUCGGCUUCAAGAAUUUGUGAUAGUUGAGUUUGGUAUUGCUGUUUCCAUGUGUCCCGUCCUUUCUUGGCGAUUUCAGUGUUUUUGGUUCGGACUGCUGUUAGGGCAAUCUGUAUGCGAUCACACCAUGAUUGCGAUGCGGAUUGCGCUAUUGCUUGUUGCCACGCUUCGAUGAGGAGUUUUCUAUUGGUUGGGGAGUCUAGUUGGCGUUUGUCAAAGAAUUGGGUUCGGGGAAGGGGGUGGUGAGGAGGUUUCAGUUUAAUGAAUACCGGGGCGUGGUCUGAGAUGAUGGGUUGUGUAGGCUAGAUCCCAAUCAUGCCCCCCCGGUCCUGUAACUUGUCGCAAAUGUAGAACCGAUCUAGUCGAAUGAGCACCGUUUUGGGUGCUAGUCCUCUAUUAUCCCAAGUGAAGGAUUUGGCGUUUAUUUUGUGGAAUUCGUCCAUAUGGAAUGAGUACUGGAGUUGUAAUCGGAUGAGGAGGUUGUUCCAGGAUUCAACCUCUCUGCGCCCUCGUCCAAGGUUGUUGUUACCUCCCUGUUUGUCUUCGAGGGAUUCGAUAAAAUUCAAGUCGCCUCCCAUGAUCCAUAGAGCCGGUGGGAGGGGGUAAUCUGUGAUUUUUUGCCACAAUCGAGCUCUUGGUCCAGUAUGGUUAUAUCCAUAGACAUUGAUGAUUCCAAUUCGCAUUGUGGGGGUGAAUUCAAAGACUGCGUAUUGGGCUUGGCCUCGGACAAUUACACCGUGUUCUUGUAUCAAAGGUGCAAGUUUGGAAGAGGUUAAGAUCGCCGUCCCUCCUGCAAGGCUGUCGUUCGUUGCGGAGUAGACCGCAGCGUUCCAAAGUAGUGGGUCUUUCAUAAAUUCUAGUUGUGAUGAUCUUUCUAAGCAGUCGUUGUGUGUAAAUCUGUGUUCUUGUAGUAGUAGAACAUCCGGUCUGGGGUGUAUGUUUUGCAUAAGGUCCCGUAGUUCGCGACGUUUUCUAACGCCUGCCAGUCCUUUUCCCAAGCACUGGACGUUGAAUGAGGCCACCGUUAUGCCGUCAUUCAUGGGUUGAUGGAGGGUUGUCCGACCCCAGUCGUUGCUCAAAGUGGGCUAGGGGGGCCAGGAAUGUUGUCUUGGUGGGUUCCACCUGUUGGGUGCCGAAUACUGAGGACCAGUCUGAAUGAGUUGAUGCUUGUAACCGCUCUAGUAUGGGGGCCUGGGGGUUUUCGGAGGGGAAAUGUGUUUUCCAGUAGACACUAUUGGUCGGUUUGAUCUGGGUGCGUUGGUCAUCAAAGGGAAUGAUAACUAUCCAGUCGCAUACAGGAAGAGUUUCUGUUGUUUUCCAGUCCGAUAACCAGAUUACGUCUGUCCAUUGUCUCGAUAGGUUUGGUCCGUUGUUCAUAUUGGUAAUCACCGUUCGGAGUCCUUGCAUUGUGGUAUUAACCAUAUGUGUUCGUGCAGAGGUUUUGGACCAGGUGGUUUCGUUGAGCACUUGAUGCAGUUGUAGUUUGCAAAGGGGAGAGUCAUUAUGCUUGUGCACCAGUGUUUCCAUAGAGAGAUCUGGAGCGAUUCGUACCAGCACCGGGGUGAUGUGUCCUUGCGAGAUACUGCCGUGUGGUUGUUGAAGCUUCAAUGCUUGCCAAAACUUGGGGUGUAUUAGUGGAGAGUCGUAUGAGAUUGGUCCUUUGAGUGUUACAGGUUGUACCGACUCAUGGGUGCGUUCCGGUUAUUUCUUUUCUACCCAGACGAAUUGCUGUCUCUGGGUCGGGGGUUGGGUCUCUUACUGGGGUCUGACCCGCUGGUCUUUGAAGUUUCCCGAUCGGGUGUUGGGUUGAUCUCGUUGGAGCUUUCUGAGUGUGUAGGUUUGCUUCGUGGUCUCUUCCCUUCUUUGCUUCUGCUUAGUGGACAGUUCUUGGCAUGAUGUGAGGUGCUGCGACAUCUGUUACAUUGGUUUGGCAGACCACUGUAUUCGAUGAUGUAUUCUUUCUCGCCACCUAAGAAGUUGGGUAGGAUCAUUGAUUGUGGAAGUUUUUGAGAUGUCGUCCACCAGUAUCCGUACACGAGGACCUGAAACUUUACUUCCGUAAGUUUCAGAGGGGUCGAUUGCGAUCACCUCGCCGAUGCUACUAAAUGCCUCCUUGAGAAGUUGUGGUGUGCGUAGUAAGCGUUGUAGUCCUCGCAGUUGGGCCCAUAUUGGGUAAGUGACUUGUUGGGAAGCUGAUGCGGCUUCAGGGUCGAAAUCCGCUUUCCACGUAGAGAAGAGAAUGUCUUGGUUGUUGAAUUUUUACUGUUUAGUUAGCGUGUGCGUUUUGCCUUGGUCACGUGUGAAGUGUACCUCGAAGUAUCCUCCUCCUAGCAUCGUUAUCGAGGAGUAUGAAUUAUGGAGUAGCUGAGUGGCCCAUUCAUGAAGUAUCCUCGGGCCGGGGUUCUUCUUCAAGUAUCCAAUGAGGGUUGGGGUUGCGAGAACGUUGCGUCCUUCGGCGGGGAUGUAAUUGUAUUGCCUAUGGUACCAGUGUCUAUGCCAUAAGCUUGUAGUAGGUUCUCGGCAUCCGGCUUCAGUUGUUCCGAGAGGCGUUGGAGCUCUUCCUCCACAGUGUAUUGGUGUAGUAAUCCAAGUUGUGGAUUUUGUUUAAUAAAAGCUUCGGCUGUGUCCCAUUUUGCUUGUA